rnacentral:rRNA from 1 species
UCCUACGGGGCGCAGCAGUGGGGAAUAUUGCACAAUGGGGGAAACCCUGAUGCAGCGACGCCGCGUGAGUGAAGAAGUAAUUCGUUAUGUAAAGCUCUAUCAGCAGGGAAGAAAAUGACGGUACCUGAGUAAGAAGCCCCGGCUAACUACGUGCCAGCAGCCGCGGUAAUACGUAGGGGGCAAGCGUUAUCCGGAUUUACUGGGUGUAAAGGGAGCGUAGACGGCAUGGCAAGUCUGAUGUGAAAACCCGGGGCUCAACCCCGGGACUGCAUUGGAAACUGUCAGGCUAGAGUGUCGGAGAGGCA